AACAAGGACGAAGGCAGGCUGAAGAAAACGUAAGGGACCAAGAGCGAGGUCAGCAUGUUGGUCCUCCAGUUCGUGCGAUCCAGUAUCAACAGGUAUCUGCCAAGUUAGUCACAAAACAGAUUCCUAUAAUUAAUUGCCUAAACCCGA